GCCGGGAUAGCUCAGCUGGGAGAGCAGCAGACUGAAGUACUCCAUCAUUUGGGCGCUUAAUAUUCUGAAGGCCGCGUGUUCGAUUCACGCUCUUGGCA
rfam:Phlebia centrifuga strain FBCC195 PHLCENscaffold_1053, whole genome shotgun sequence.